rnacentral:rRNA from 1 species
AACGAACGCUGGCGGCGUGCCUAACACAUGCAAGUCGAACGAGAAAGUCCUUCGGGAUGAGUAGAGUGGCGCACGGGUGAGUAACGCAUGAGAACGUGCCUUUUGGUUGGGGAUAACCACGGGAAACUGUGGCUAAUACCGGAUAGUCUCGAGAGAGUAAAGGUGGCCUCUAUUUAUAAGCUAUCGCCAGAAGAUCGGCUCAUGUCCCAUUAGCUAGUUGGUAGGGUAAAGGCUUACCAAGGCGACGAUGGGUAACUGGUCUGAGAGGAUGAUCAGUCACACUGGAACUGAGACACGGUCCAGACUCCUACGGGUGGCAG